AGCUACAAGGAUGGUCUCUCUGGAAUGAACUUAAAAGCAGGAGGGGCAGAAACUGGACCCUCGACAACAAUGGCUAAGAAUAACCAAUGGGAACCCGAAGCUCAGCCCUGCGUAGGGCUGAUCCGGUUAAAGCACAUUGAUUCAAGACACUGGAGGGUCCCCCAGGCUUAGGAGGAAAUGUGGGCACUCCCAUCACAAGAUGUUAUGAGAAGUUAUAAGAUCCUAUUUAUCAGCAGCUCCCGGAUGCAAGAGGUAAGGCUAAUGAAACACCAGGAAAGUGUGUCAUUGCGAGGAAUGGCGUUUGACUUCAGAACUAUGACCAAUGCAGUGUCCAGUUGUGACUUCAAUGAAGAAACAUGCCUCUCUUCCACUUGAAAGAGAAGUGGUGGGCCAGAAAUGAGGAAUGUGGACUACAUUUUCAGACACUGACAAUGUGCUGAUCUGUUUUGCUUUGUAGUGGACCGAUUUGUUGCAAGGGAGAGUUCUAUGGU